rnacentral:rRNA from 1 species
CCUACGGGUGGCAGCAGUGAGGAAUAUUGGUCAAUGGUCGGGAGACUGAACCAGCCAAGUCGCGUGAGGGAGGAAUGUCCUGAGUAUUGUAAACCUCUUUUGUCAGGGAACAAAGGCGGGGACGUGUCCCCGGAUGAGUGUACCUGAAGAAAAAGCAUCGGCUAACUCCGUGCCAGCAGCCGCGGUAAUACGGAGGAUGCGAGCGUUAUCCGGAUUUAUUGGGGUUAAAGGGUGCGUAGGCGGGUUGUUAAGUCAGCCGUCAAAGCACGGGGGUCAACCCCCACCCGGCCGUGGAAACUGGCAGUCUUGAGUGGGGUAGAGGUAUGCGGAAUGCGCGGUGUAGCGGUGAAAUGCAUAGAUAUCACGAAGAACUCCGAUUGCGAAGGCAGCAUACUGGCUCCACACUGACGCUGAGGCACGAAAGCGUGGGUAUCGAACAGGAUUAGAUACCCCAGUAGUC